UGCCAUUUAAAAAAAAAAAAAAAAAAAAACUAGUUGUGGAUUUUUUUUUUAUUUUCUUUUUUUUGCAGAGGGUCUAAUGCAUCACCUGAGCUCAGCCAUUAUUUGAAAUAAGCACUGAAAGCCUUCAAAAAUAAAGCCAGGAUUUUUGCGUUAAUUGAUAUGUAAAUAUUUUGCUGAAAUUGGUACCUACGUCUUUUUCAAAAUUUAAACAGCAGCACCACAGCCUUGUGGGAAUGCAUUUUAAAAAGACUAAAAUCCACCUGUAAAUUUGUAUCACUGCUUAUGUAUGUAUCUCCAAUUAUUUUAAUCUCCAUUUGUAAGUUAUAAUUGUUUUAUAACCUCUGAAAAUGUCUUAUAUGAGAAAAAAAAAUCUUAAAUGGAGCAUUGAAAAACUGGUAAAAUACUGAGGUCAUACAAACCGGUCAUACCUGCAUUUUAUUACUUUUUUUAUAUCACUUUCUUUAGAUUCCUCCUAAUGUUUUCUGGUAAAGCAUAAGAUCAAACAAUUCUGUGUUCAAAGAGAAUUGAGAAACUCAUGUUUCCAUUUCAGCAACCAUUAAUGGUACACAACAGUGCUCUCAAUCCUGCCAGUAAAUUAUAAGGACGCUGUUUAGAUUUAAUGUUGUUCCCAUCCCCUCUCUCUUCCAGCCUGGAACGUCCAUACCAAUUGAUUCAUGUAAGAAUUGUACCUGCAGUUCUGAAAAGGAUCCAGUGACUAGUGCCAAUAUUGUGCAGUGUGAACCAGUGCAAUGUGAAACAUCUUGCCCACUGGGUACAUGAAUAUAAGAUUGAGGAUGGAGACUGCUGUGGGAAGUGUGUUGAAGUAGCUUGCAAAAUCAAACUAAGUAACAACACUAUUCAAGUGCUCAACGUUGAUGAGACUCUGCCACUUGAUCUCUGCAACUACUACAAAUGUGAAAAAAUUGAAGAUCAAUAUGUUACAGUCCAAACUAAAAGAGUGUGCCCUGAAUUCGAUCCAACAGAGUGUGAUCCUGUAAGUUUUAAUCAAUUCUUCAUGUAUCAAAUGCAGCUUAAAAGCUCAAAGGAGGCAGGGAAGAAAGAAAGAAUGCAACAAAUCACUUUCAUUAAAGUUGCAGAAUGAAAUUAAUUUUGCUGUAACGAUACUAUUGAGAGAAACAUACUAUUUUUAUGUGAGCCUACAAGGAUUCAAGACUUCUGUGGUGUGGACUCAGCCAGUAAGACACCCAUGGUUUCGCUCUGUUCAUCACAGAGGAGCCUUCUUCCUAGUAUUAGUAAUGUUAACUGGUAUUCAUACUCCUGAUUGUCAUCCAUGCUUUAACACAAAUCCUCCUUCUUUA